rnacentral:misc_RNA from 1 species
GGGGAACGAGAGCGGGAGGAGGGAGAAGAAUACUCAGAAUGAGAAGAAGAGUAGGACCGUGAUUCGGACGGAGAUACUGGAUCGUCGGCGGCAUCGACGGCGGUGCCGGCGGAGUGAAGUGAAGAAUUAUCGAGGAAGGUGGAAAUGGCAGAGUCUAAGUCGAAAUUAUGACUUUCGAGGAAGAAUAAUGCUUGGGAUUUAGAAGAAGAAGUGAUUUCACAGAAUGUGUUGAUAA